AUGUAACACUGGGGGAGCCUUUUGGCUGAGAGGGAACUAAAAUUCCGACCCUUGAACCUGAACUAGGUAAUACUAGCGGAGGGAAGUGAUUUGUCAGUUUG
rfam:Sporanaerobacter acetigenes DSM 13106 genome assembly, contig: EJ96DRAFT_scaffold00007.7